AUGCCAGACUCCUACGGGAGGCAGCAGUGGGGGAUAUUGCACAAUGGGGGAAACCCUGAUGCAGCGACGCCGCGUGGGCGAAGAAGUAUUUCGGUAUGUAAAGCCCUAUCAGCAGGGAAGAAGAAAUGACGGUACCUGAGUAAGAAGCACCGGCUAAAUACGUGCCAGCAGCCGCGGUAAUACGUAGGGGGCAAGCGUUAUCCGGAUUCACUGGGUGUAAAGGGAGCGUAGACGGCGACGCAAGUCUGGAGUGAAAGCCCAGGGCCCAACCCCGGGACUGCUCUGGAAACUGCGGCGCUGGAGUACGGGAGGGGCAGGCGGAAUUCCUGGUGUAGCGGUGAAAUGCGUAGAUAUCAGGAGGAACACCGGUGGCGAAGGCGGCCUGCUGGACUGCAACUGACGUUGAGGCCCGAAAGCGUGGGGAGCAAACAGGAUUAGAUACCCUCGUACG
rnacentral:rRNA from 1 species